AUAUCAAUAAGCGGAGGAAAAGAAACCAACAGGGAUUGCCUCAGUAACGGCGAGUGAAGCGGCAACAGCUCAAAUUUGAAAUCUGGCCCCAGGCCCGAGUUGUAAUUUGCAGAGGAUGCUUCGGGCGCGGCGCCUCCCAAGUCCCCUGGAACGGGGCGCCUGAGAGGGUGAGAGCCCCGUACGGUUGGAUGCCUAGCCCAUGUGAAGCUCCUUCGACGAGUCGAGUAGUUUGGGAAUGCUGCUCAAAACGGGAGGUAGACCCCUUCUAAAGCUAAAUACCGGCCAGAGACCGAUAGCGCACAAGUAGAGUGAUCGAAAGAUGAAAAGCACUUUGAAAAGAGGGUUAAACAGCACGUGAAAUUGUUGAAAGGGAAGCGCUCGUGACCAGACUUGCGCCGGGGCGAUCAUCCGGCGUUCUCGCCGGUGCACUCGCCCCGGCUCAGGCCAGCGUCGGUUUGGGCGGGGGGAGAAAUGCGCCGGGAACGUGACUCCCCCGGGAGUGUUAUAGCCCGGCGCGUCAUGUCCCCGCCCGGACCGAGGUUCGCGCUCUGCAAGGACGCUGGCGUAAUGGUCACCAGCGGCCCGUCUUGAAACACGGACCAAGGAGUCGAGGUUCUGCGCGAGUGUCUGGGUGUCAAACCCGCACGCGCAAUGAAAGUGAACGCAGGUGGGAGCCUCGGCGCACCACCGACCGAUCCUGAUGUUCUCGGAUGGAUUUGAGUAGGAGCGUAGGGCCUCGGACCCGAAAGAUGGUGAACUAUGCUUGGAUAGGGUGAAGCCAGAGGAAACUCUGGUGGAGGCUCGCAGCGGUUCUGACGUGCAAAUCGAUCGUCAAAUCUGAGCAUGUGGCGAAAGUCAGG
rnacentral:rRNA from 1 species